GGACGAACGCUGGCGGCGUGCCUAAUACAUGCAAGUCGAACGCUUCUUUCCUCCCGAGUGCUUGCACUCAAUUGGAAAGAGGAGUGGCGGACGGGUGAGUAACACGUGGGUAACCUACCCAUCAGAGGGGGAUAACACUUGGAAACAGGUGCUAAUACCGCAUAACAGUUUAUGCCGCAUGGCAUAAGAGUGAAAGGCGCUUUCGGGUGUCGCUGAUGGAUGGACCCGCGGUGCAUUAGCUAGUUGGUGAGGUAACGGCUCACCAAGGCCACGAUGCAUGGCCGACCUGAGAGGGUGAUCGGCCACACUGGGACUGAGACACGGCCCAGACUCCUACGGGAGGCAGCAGUAGGGAAUCUUCGGCAAUGGACGAAAGUCUGACCGAGCAACGCCGCGUGAGUGAAGAAGGUUUUCGGAUCGUAAAACUCUGUUGUUAGAGAAGAACAAGGACGUUAGUAACUGAACGUCCCCUGACGGUAUCUAACCAGAAAGCCACGGCUAACUACGUG
rnacentral:rRNA from 1 species